rnacentral:rRNA from 1 species
CCUUCAUGAAGCUGGAAUUGCUAGUAAUGGCAGGUCAGCAUACUGCCGUGAAUACGUUCCCGGGCCUUGUACACACCGCCCGUCACACCAUGAGAGUUGGAAAUACCCGAAGCCUGUGAGCUAACAGUAAUGAGGCAGCAGUCGAAGGUAGAGCCAAUGAUUGGGGUGAAGUCGUAACAAGGUAUC